CACGUAGGGCGCAAGCGUUGUCCGGAAUUAUUGGGCGUAAAGAGCGCGCAGGCGGUCGGAUAAGUCGAAUGUGAAAGCCCCCGGCUCAACUGGGGAGGGUCAUUCGAUACUGUUCGACUCGAAGGCAGGAGAGGGAAGUGGAAUUCCCGGUGUAGUGGUGAAAUGCGUAGAUAUCGGGAGGAACACCAGUGGCGAAGGCGACUUCCUGGCCUGUUCUUGACGCUGAGGCGCGAAAGCUAGGGGAGCAAACGGG
rnacentral:rRNA from 1 species